GAUGAAGAACGCAGCGAAAUGCGAUAAGUAAUGUGAAUUGCAGAACUCAGUGAAUCAUCGAGUCUUUGAACGCACAUUGCGCCCCCUGGUAUUCCGGGGGGCAUGCCUGUCCGAGCGUCAUUUCUGCCCUCAAGCACGGCUUGUGUGUUGGGCCUCCGUCCUCCUCCCGGGGGACGGGCCCGAAAGGCAGCGGCGGCACCGCGUCCGGUCCUCGAGCGUAUGGGGCUUCGUCACCCGCUCUUGUAGGCCCGGCCGGCGCUUGCCGACACAUCAAUCUUUUUUCCAGGUUGACCUCGGAUCAGGUAGGGAUACCCGCUGAACUUAAGCAUAUCAAUAAGCGGAGGA
rnacentral:misc_RNA from 1 species